rnacentral:rRNA from 1 species
CCUACGGGUGGCAGCAGUGAGGAAUCUUGGUCAAUGGACGAGAGCCUGACCCAGCCAAGCAGCGUGAAGGAUGACUGCCCUAUGGGUUGUAAACUUCUUUUAUAUGGGAAUAAAACGUUCCACGUGUGGGAUUUUGUAUGUACCAUAUGAAUAAGGAUCGGCUAACUCCGUUCCAGCAGCCGCGGUAAUACGGAGGAUCCGAGCGUUGCCCGGAUUGGUUGGGUUUAAAGGGAGCGUAGGUGGAUUGUUAAGUCAGUUGUGAAAGUUUGGGGCUCAACCGUAAAAUUGCAGUUGAAACUGGCAGUCUUGAGUACAGUAGAGGUGGGCGGAAUUCGUGGUGUAGCGGUGAAAUGCUUAGAUAUCACGAAGAACUCCGAUUGCGAAGGCAGCUCACUGGACUGCAACUGACGCUGAGGCUCGAAAGUGUGGGUAUCAAACAGGAUUAGAUACCCGAGUAGUC